AUCGCUUCUCGGCCUUUUGGCUAAGAUCGAAUGUAGUAUCUGUUCUGGUCAGCUUAAUAACAUAAAUGUUAGCUUUCUUGUCCUUCCUUAGGAUAAUGAAUUCAGCUAUUAUUCCCUCCAGGUCACUGCAU
rnacentral:snRNA from 1 species